rnacentral:rRNA from 1 species
CAAUAGCGUAUAUUAAAGUUGUUGCAGUUAAAAAGCUCGUAGUUGGAUCUGUGGUGUGCGGUGGGCUCCGGGCACUUGUUGUCUGAGUAGCUCGCCGCUGCCAUCCUUGGGUGGAACCUGUGUGGCAUUAGGUUGUCGUGCAGGGGAUGCCCAUCGUUUACUGUGAAAAAAUUAGAGUGUUCAAAGCAGGCUUAUGCCGUUGAAUAUAUUAGCAUGGAAUAAUGAGAUAGGACUUUUUCGCUAUUUUGUUGGUUUGCGCGAAGAGGUAAUGAUUAAUAGGGACAGUUGGGGGUAUUCGUAUUCCAUUGUCAGAGGUGAAAUUCUUGGAUUUUUGGAAGACGAGCUACUGCGAAAGCAUUUACCAAGGAUGUUUUCAUUAA